rnacentral:lncRNA from 12 species
CUUGGCUUGAGAGCUACUUGGCAUUGCAGUCUCUGAUUAUGGAAGGAAAAGCUGAGAAAAAAAACAAUUAAACUGAAAUGAGUUUCCACUGAAGAUAAACACUUUGCCCUGAGUUGGGGUGGUUUUCAAUAAAGGAGAAUAAACAGUUAAUCAACAAGUCAUUUGUUAAGCACCCUCUGCAUUUAAUAUUGUGCUCAUGGCAUCAAGGGAUGCAAAAGAAAUGGAAGACCUAUUUUCUGCCUUAAGACAACCAUAAUGUAGUUUGAAAUAGUGAAGCAGUCCAUACACAGGAAGCAACUGUUACUUCUUGAGUUAUUCUUGUGCUAUUCUUCUCCUCUUCAACCUUCAUCUAGG